AACGAACGCUGGCGGCAUGCUUAACACAUGCAAGUUGAACGCAGGAUAGGACUUCGGUUCUAUUGCUGAGUAGCAAACGGGUGAGUAACGCGUGGGAAUCUACCUUUUUGUGGGGGAUAACUGAGGGAAACUUCAGCUAAUACCGCAUAAGCUCUACGGAGGAAAGGCUUCGGCCGCAAGAAGAGGAGCCCGCGUCAGAUGAGGUAGUUGGUAGGGUAAAAGCCUACCAAGCCAAUGAUCUGUAGCUGGUCUGAGAGGAUGAUCAGCCACACUGGGACUGAGACACGGCCCAGACUCCUACGGGAGGCAGCAGUGGGGAAUAUUGGACAAUGGGGGAAACCCUGAUCCAGCAAUGCCGCGUGAAUGAAGAAGGCCUUAGGGUUGUAAAGUUCUUUCACCUGUGAAGAUUAUGACGGUAGCAGGAGAAGAAGCCCCGGCUAACUCCGUGCCAGCCGCCGCCGUAA
rnacentral:rRNA from 1 species